CUGCUUGUGAUUUGCUGAUGCGAGUGCUGUCACAGCUGUUAUGGCCUGCAGCGCAAGUUUAAUACCCCUAAGCCUGCAGCGUCGCCGGGCGGUGUCCUGUAUGCACGCGACAUUGCUCUCGGUCUGUGUGAGCGAAUCGUUGCUGUGCGGGCUGUCUCGAUCUGGCCUGUGGCUGAUUAUGUGUGUGCGCUGGGGAACCGUGGGGUGAUCUGCUGCACUGCUGCCUCGGCGGGGGGUUUGAACGGCGGCUCGGUCUGUCUUUCUCGUGCCUCGGCUUUGGGUGUCGCUCUCUCCCCCUGUGGGAUUGCCCUCUGCCUGGUCGGCCCAGUUCCGGCUGUGUCUUGGCUCUAAGCGGGUUGCCGGUUAGACGUAUUUAAAUAGAAUCACAUCCUCGUCUUGCUACACAAGCAAUUAAAUCCUUUAUACAAGA